UACGUAGGGGGCAAGCGUUGUCCGGAAUCAUUGGGCGUAAAGAGCGUGUAGGCGGCCCGGUCAGUCCGCCGUGAAAGUCCAGGGCUCAACCCUGGAAUGCCGGUGGAUACUGCCGGGCUGGAGUCCGGAAGAGGCGAGUGGAAUUCCUGGUGUAGCGGUGAAAUGCGCAGAUAUCAGGAGGAACACCGAUGGCGAAGGCAGCUCGCUGGGACGGUACUGACGCUGAGACGCGAAAGCGUGGGGGAGCGAACAGG
rnacentral:rRNA from 1 species